UACGUAGGGGGCUAGCGUUGUCCGGAAUCAUUGGGCGUAAAGCGCGUGUAGGCGGCCCGAUAAGUCCGCUGUGAAAGUCCAGGGCUCAACCCUGGGAUGCCGGUGGAUACUGUCGGGCUCGAGUCCGGAAGAGGCGAGUGGAAUUCCUGGUGUAGCGGUGAAAUGCGCAGAUAUCAGGAGGAACACCAAUGGCGAAGGCAGCUCGCUGGGACGUGACUGACGCUGAGGAGCGAAAGCGUGGGGAGCGAACAGG
rnacentral:rRNA from 1 species